ensembl:snRNA U6 U6 spliceosomal RNA
GUGUUUGUUUCGGCAGCACAUAUACUAAAAUUGAAACCAUACGGGGAAGAUUAGCAUGGCUCCUGCAUAAAAGUGACAUGCAAAUUCAUAAACUGUUUCAUAUUUUU